rnacentral:rRNA from 1 species
CUUUCCCUCUGGCGGUAGGCCUAACACAUGCAAGUCGAACGGCAACACAGUAAGAGCUUUCUCUUACGGGUGGCGAGUGGCGGACGGGUGAGGAAUACAUCGGAAGCUACUUUUUCGGGGGGGAUAACGUAGGGAAACUUACGCUAAUACCUCAUACGUCCUACGGGUGAAAGCAGGAGAUCUUCGGAACUUGCGCGAUUGAAUGAGCCGAUGUCGGAUUAGCUAGUUGGCGGGGUAAAGGCCCACCAAGGCGACGAUCCGUAGCUGGUCUGAGAGGAUGAUCAGCCACACUGGAACUGAGACACGGUCCAGCCUCCUACGGGAGGCAGCAGUAGGGAAUAUUGGACAAUGGGCGCAAGCCUGAUCCAGCCAUACCGCGUGGGUGAAGAAGGACUUCGGGUUGUAAAGCCCUUUUGUUGGGAAAGAAAAUCAGCAGAUUAAUACCCCGCUGUUCUGACGGUACCCAAAGAAUAAGCACCGGCUAACUUCGUG